CGUAUACUCCCUCCGUCCAACAAAGGAUGUCUCAACUUUGACUAAAUUUGAAUGCAUCUAUACACUAAGUCAUGUCUAGAUACAUCCAAAUUUUGACAAACUUGAGACAUCUUUUGUUGGACGGAGGGAGUAAUUG
rnacentral:pre_miRNA from 1 species